rnacentral:rRNA from 1 species
AUUCCCGUUGAUCCUGCGGGAGGUUGCUGCUAUUUGGGUUCGACUAAGCCAUGCAAGUUUGCUUUCUUACGAAGGCAGCAGAAUGCUCAGUAACACGUCAAUAACCUGCCCUUAGGUUCAGCAUAACCUUGGGAAACUGAGGCUAAAACUGGAUAGGGGAAUUGUAUUGGAAUAUUUUUUCCCUUAAAAGUAAUGCCUAAGGAUGGGUUGGCGGUCGAUUAGGUUGUUGGUAGGGUAAAGGCCUACCAAGCCAAAGAUCGAUAGGAGCCUUGAGAGAGGUAGCUCCGAGAAGGGCACUGAGGUACUGGCCCUAGCCCUACGGGGUGCAGCAGGCGCGAAACCUUUACAAUGCACGAAAGUGUGAUAAGGGAACCCUAAGUGCUUUACUUUUGUAAAGCUUUUUUUAAGAGUAAAAAUCUUAAAGAAUAAGUGGUGGGCAAGACGGGUGCCAGCCGCCGCGGUAACACCCGCGCCACAAGUGGCAAUCAUAAUUAUUGGGCCUAAAGCGUCCGUAGCUGGAUUAGCAAAUCUUCUGUGAAAUUGUUAAGCUUAACUUAACAAAGUGCAGGAGAGACUACUAAUCUUGGAACUGGGAGGAGUUAGAAGUAUUUCUGGGGGAGCGGUAAAAUGCUAUAAUCCCAGAAGGACUACCUGUGGCGAAGGCGUCUAACUAGAACAGAUUCGACAGUGAGGGACGAAAGCUAGGGGAGCGAUCCGGAUUAGAUACCCGAGUAGUCCUAGCCGUAAACGCUGCGAGCAAGGUGUUACAUAUUCUUCGUGAAUAUGUAGUGUCGAAAUGAAGAUGUUAAGCUCGCCGCCUGGGAAGUAUGGUCGCAAGACUGAAACUUAAAGGAAUUGGCGGGGGAGCACUACAAGGGGUGCGGCGU